AAACAAGAACGCCGCCACACCUGCCUUGGAUUACAAAGGGGCCUCUUGGAUCUUUUCAGAUGAAGCCAAUCUGGAGUUCUGGACCCUGAAAACAAUGCAUCGAACUGAAAAGGAACCAAAUAUGAAUAUCCAUUAGUAUUUGUUUGAGGUCAAGUAUAAGAGCCAAUGCUAAAUAACUUGGAUAACUAUAGAAGAAACUAUCAGACAAAGAAAAUAAGAAUGCUUCAGUAUAAGAUCAACAUUUGAGAAGUAUAAAAGAGACAGUUGAACAAUGGACACAGAACAUGAUGAUGCCUUUCUUGAGAACUAACAACUACGAAACUGAAAGAAAAUGCAACGUGCCUAGCUCUAAUCCUACAAUCCAGGUCCCGAUUCAAUCAAGCAAGCAAAACGCAAUACAGAGCUGAAACUAAAGCUGAACUGAUUGGUUUUAUCGACCACCAAACACCAUCCAAUACCAAUCACUUGGAAAUCGAAGUACCAGAUUGGAGUAAUUUAGGUCAACAAAGAUACCUACCAAGAUCGAGAGAGAAAUUAUCCAUAAACCCACCGGAAUCGGAAAGCAGUCCACUCGGCCUCAAGGUCAUCGCCGGAGGCAGUCGUGAAUCUAUCUUCUAGAGCGUUUCAGAAGAUUUACAAUAAAA
rnacentral:lncRNA from 1 species